UACGUAGGGGCCUAGCGUUGUCCGGAUUUAUUGGGCGUAAAGAGCUCGUAGGCGGUUCGGCAAGUCGGAUGUGAAAUCUCCACGCUCAACGUGGAGGGGCCAUUCGAAACUGCCGUGACUCGAGUCCGGUAGGGGAGUGUGGAAUUCCCGGUGUGAGCGGUGAAAUGCGCAGAUAUCGGGAAGGAACACCGGUGGCGAAGGCGGCGGACCUGG
rnacentral:rRNA from 1 species